rnacentral:rRNA from 1 species
GACGAACGCUGGCGGCGUGCCUAAUACAUGCAAGUAGAACGCUGAAGGAGGAGCUUACUUCUCUGGAUGAGUUGCGAACGGGUGAGUAACGCGUAGGUAACCUGCCUGGUAGCGGGGGAUAACUAUUGGAAACGAUAGCUAAUACCGCAUAAGAGUAGAUGUUGCAUGACAUUUACUUAAAAGGUGCAAUUGCACCACUACCAGAUGGACCUGCGUUGUAUUAGCUAGUUGGUGGGGUAACGGCUUACCAAGGCGACGAUACAUAGCCGACCUGAGAGGGUGAUCGGCCACACUGGGACUGAGACACGGCCCAGACUCCUACGGGAGGCAGCAGUAGGGAAUCUUCGGCAAUGGACGGAAGUCUGACCGAGCAACGCCGCGUGAGUGAAGAAGGUUUUCGGAUCGUAAAGCUCUGUUGUAAGAGAAGAUCGAGUGUGAGAGUGGAAAGUUCACACUGUGACGGUAUCUUACCAGAAAGGGACGGCUAACUACGUGCCAGCAGCCGCCGCGG